UUGAAACCAAAAUGCACCCACGUGCCGACCAUGCGAUAGGAACCCAGCUGGGAAUAAACAUUUCCCCCAUUCCACGACCAAUAGUCAUACAUGCGGCUGACCAGGAGGCCCUUGACUCGGAUGUGCACAAUGAUUCACCAGUCAAGAAAUUCAAGGUACAGACACAUGAAGGAAAAGUUUCAACCUAGCGCGGGUAAACGGCGGGAGUAACCACGACUCUAGAGAUAGACCCAGUACAUCCGUCCAAGUUAUAAAACGAAUCGUGAUGGGCAUAUGUAGACCGCAAGACAAAAUAGCGCCAACAGUCCCACCCGGUAUAGACAGGGGUACAAUGUGCCAUGAAGUUCCAAGCCAGAUACAAACACCUUCCCAUUCAGGAAGAGAGGUCGGACGACAAUGGAAAGAAAGGUCAAAGAAUGGUGCUUGGGGACUCGCUAUGCAGGGGGAUUGCGGGCGAUAUACCCAACUGCUCAGUAAUAAGCAAACCAGGAGCUAACCUGAAGCGAAUGCAAAAAAUAAUAACCAAUUUAAAUGUAAAGACUUAUCACUCUAUUGUGUUACAUGUAGGGACAAAUGACAUUUCUUCCUUUAAUCCACAUCGAUUUCUCUCUGAAUAUAUGACACUAAUUAAAUACUUAAAAUCGAUGAACCCUGAUGCCGUUAUAAUGUGUUGUGACAUUAUUCCACGCAUCAGGGAUUUCAGCACAACACAGAGGGUUGUAAUCCAUGCGAACAAUAUCAUAAGGCAUGUGUGCACUGUUCUCAGAUGUAAAAAUGUGCGAACAUCCAAAAGAUUUUUAUAUUUGGGAACAAGUGGACCAAGGCACUAUCUAUAUUGUUCGGACGGAUUACACCUGAAUGAUAAAGGAAAGUAUCAGCUGAAAAGGUCAUUUGCCCAAGCCCUAUCACAUGCCCAUCAGUAAAGAUUUGCUUUUGUCCUAGUCAUCCCAUUUAGAACUGUUUAAAAGAAUGAAUAUAUUCACUAGUUUAUAAGAAAUUUGAAAAAUAGUUUUCUGCUGAUAUUUCCAUUUAUUUCUUUAUUUAUUUUAGCUUAUGUCGUAAUUUAUAGGAUUUUUAUGCUUUUCAAAAUAUGGUCAGAAUAACACUCUUAUAGUCCCUACCUACAUUUAUUUAAUGCUUAUGGUAACAAUCUUGUUCGUAGUAAAUUGAGCUCUGUAUUCUGAUGAACUUAGACACUAUUUAUUCUCGCAGUUAUUGUAGUAUGUGUCUUUGCAAUUCUUAGUUACUGUUUUCUGAUUAAUUGUAACCAAUAGUCAUGCCCGGUAAAGUGAAUGUUGUGAUAACUAAUUUCCCUUCCCUUCUCAGGACAUUUUAGACCUAUCCAUAUUAUGUUGUUUUGGAUUGUACUAUGCAUAAACCAAAAAGUAUAACAUUUAAAAAUCGUGUAGAAAUCAUUGCAGACCUUACGCAGCAAAUUGUUAUGUGAACUGUAACGUAUGUUAUAUUUGGGAUUACACUGUCUUAUUAAAGUACACAUUCUGAUACUUUUUAGGGUCCCCAUGUCAUUUGUCCCUACUUGCACUUUCGUUAUGUGAAAUGUCCAGUAAUACUGAUUUAAAAAUAAUAAACUUUCCUCUUAUUUUAGUUAGUUUCCAUAUUCCAAUGCUAAAAAGUAUUUGAUUAUACAUUUCUGUUUUUCUUCCAACUUUUCCGAUAUAAACAAACGAUCUAAUCUUUCAUUUUGGACUAGUUUAUCUCCAUGAAUACUAGUAACUUCUUCUUGUCAUAUUGGUGUAUCGCCAAUCACGUAUCUAUUAAACGAUGUUGUUCAUAUUCCCUUUUUGUUUUAUUUACUUUUUUUGUGGUUAAAGCUGAUUCAUCUGCAGCAUUCAUCUCGCCACACAAGCAUAAGUAAUCUGUCUCAAACCGAGAAAGAUUAUUGAAAAAGCAUAGACUAUCUGAAUUUGGACCAUAUGGGAAAAUCAAAGAGAGCGAUAUAUGUAAACAAAAAGUAGAAACAUUAAAAGCCAUAACAAAUCGUUAAAAAUCAGUCUGCGAUAGCCUCGAAAGGUAGAUACUUA